rnacentral:rRNA from 1 species
AAUCUCGGGAAACUGAGGAUAAUACCCCAUAGGUCAAGGAUGCUGGAAUGCACUUUGGCUCAAAGUUACGGCGCUUCAGGAUGGGUCUGCGGCCUAUCAGGUUGUAGUGAGUGUAAAGGACUCACUAGCCGACGACGGGUACGGGCCAUGGGAGUGGUAGCCCGGAGAUGGAUUCUGAGACACGAAUCCAGGCCCUACGGGGCGCAGCAGGCGCGAAAACUUCGCAAUGCGCGCAAGCCCGACGAGGGGGAUUCCAAGUGCAUGACCUUAGUUGCAUGCUUGUUUGCUUAGUCUAAAAAGCUAGUAGAAUAAAGGGCUUGGGUAAGAACUGGGUGGCCAGCCGGCCGGGGGUAUAUACCACGCGGCCCGAGGUGGGUGUUCGUUUUUUAUUGGGGCUUUAAAGCGGUCCGGUGGCCCGGCCCGAUAAAUCCCUCGGGGUAAUUCCGUUUGGGCCUCAACCCAAACAAUUUCUGGGGAAGACUGCGGGCCUUGGACACCGGGAAAAGGUCGGGAGGUCUUCCAGGGGUAGGGGGUAAAUUUCUUUGUAACCCUUGGGGGAACCAACGGGUGGCAAAAGGCGUCCCGAACAAAAAACGGGUCCAGACGGUAAAGGGACAAAGCCCUUGGGGCCGCGAACGGGAAUUAGAUACCCCCGUUAAGUCCAGGGGUGAAAAACCCUGUCCCGCUUUGGUGUUGGGGGGUCCUCCGUGGCCCCCCAGUGCCGAAAAGAAGUUGUUAAGGCGCACCGGCCUGGGGGGAGUACGGGUCGCUAGACUGAAACUUAAA